UCCGGGAUCGUCUAAUGGUAGGACGCUCCGCUCUGGACGGAGUAAUCUACGUUCGAAUCGUAGUCCCGGAGCCA
rnacentral:tRNA from 1 species